rnacentral:rRNA from 1 species
UACGGAGGGCGCGAGCGUUAAUCGGAAUUACUGGGCGUAAAGCGCGCGUAGGCUGUUGUGUAAGUUGGGGGUGAAAUCCCACGGCUCAACCGUGGAACAGCCCUUGAUACUGCGCGACUUGAAUCCGGGAGAGGGUGGCGGAAUUCCAGGUGUAGGAGUAGAAUCCGUAGAUAUCUGGAGGAACAUCAGUGGCGAAGGCGGCCACCUGGACCGGUAUUGACGCUGAGGCGCGAAAGCGUGGGGAGCAAACAGG